CAAAUACUACCUCCGUCCGGAAUUACUUGUCGCUUAAAUGGAUGUAUCUAGCACUAUAUUUUAGUGCUAGGUAUAUCCAUUUGAGCGACAAGUAAUUCAGGAUGGAGGGAGUAUUAC
rnacentral:pre_miRNA from 1 species